GACGAACGCUGGCGGCGUGCUUAACACAUGCAAGUCGAACGGAAAGGCCCCUUUGGGGGUACUCGGGUGGCGAACGGGUGAGUAACACGUGAGUAACCUGCCCUUGACUUCGGGAUAACUUCAGGAUACUGGGGCUAAUACCGGAUAGGAAUCCUUGCUGCAUGGUGGGGGUUGGAAAGCUUCGGCGGUUUUGGAUGGACUCGCGGCGUAUCAGCUUGUUGGUGGGGUAGUGGCUUACCAAGGCCUUGACGGGUAGCCGGCCUGAGAGGGCGACCGGCCACAUUGGGACUGAGAUACGGCACAGACUCCUACGGGAGGCAGCAGUGGGGAAUAUUGCACAAUGGGCGGCGGCCUGAUGCAGCAACGCCGCGUGCGGGAUGACGGCCUUCGGGUGGUGAACCGCUUUCAGCAGGGGCGAAGCUUGUGGUGACGGUACCUGCAGAAGAAGCACCGGCUAACUACGUG
rnacentral:rRNA from 1 species